AAGCCCGGUCCUGGGGCGGGGAGCUGCAGCCCCCCCCAGGGGCACCGUCCCUGCUCCUUCGCUUGAAUGGACCUGGCCGUUGGUGGCCCUGGCUGGGUCCAUGCCUGUGGCCACGACAGAACCACGACAGCGCAUUUUGCAGCUCCUCAGUGUGGAGGCUUAACUUCACCGGCUCCGGGAUUGUGGGGCCACCUCCUCCCACGACCGGGCCAUGUUUUCAUUCCUAACUGUCCUCACUAACCCAGAACACUUGGGAUUCUCUUGUCUCCAGCAGAACCCCAAACACCUCCCACCCUCUUGUUGGUCUAGUGGUUAAUUAAGUGUCUGUCAGUCACAGAAACCAGAGGCAGAUAUCAGAUGACUGUUCACUCAGCCUUUUCCCGAAAGGCCCUUCUAGGCUGGUUUCCUCUGCUCAGCACAGCAGCUCCUCCACCGCCUGUCCUCUCGGCACGAGGGCGAUGGGCCUGGGGCUGUGGGCAGCUGCGGGCCCUCUCCUGGAGCCAAGCGGGCAGCCAGGCUGCAGCAGGCGGCCCUAUCUGGGAGAGGCCAGAGGCAAGCCGCCUGCUCAUUAUUGGGCUGCCGUGAAAACUUCAGCCCUGGAGGUCUUUCCCAAACAGGAUAGAGUUUCAUCUCUCUGGAAUGUGUUAGGGCGGCAAGGCCUACCGUCCUCUCUGUCCAGAUGAAAUUCAUCUUCCAUGAAGGACCGGGCCCCACGUCUGAGCUCCACAGACUGCAUAGACCUCCACGAAUAGACCGUAGAGCUCCACUCCUGGCCGCGGAGACCAUGAAUGACUAUCUUUCCCAGGACUGAGCACUAGUCCUGGAUGUGCUGUCUCUAGCAGAUUUCGAGCAAGGUACACUCAUGGCUUUCCAUCUUGCUCUGCCAGUGGCUGUGUGGCUCUGCCAGCCCCACAGGUCAGCAUCUGUUUCCCACACUGACUCAGAUCUCAGCUUCCUUCCUGACAAAUAGCACACGAGGCAGCCCCAAUCCUGGCCUUGGUCUGCUCAGCGGUUUUUGCUCCUCAACUGAUGGACAAAUGUUGGGACUUUUCGAUCUGGGACUCUGAUGGUUUCAUAGCAGAGGGAAGAGAGACACGAUGAAUCACUCACUGAUCCUUAAAACUUCUGUCUGGAAGUGACACUUGUCAUUUCUGCUCAUGUUUCAUUGGCUGAUGCAAGUCAUAUGGCUGAGCCUAAACUCCCCCUGGGAGAGUAAAGGAUAAUUCUCCUCUAAUGAACAGUAAUAAAGUCUACCGUA